rnacentral:rRNA from 1 species
AGAGUGAACGCUGGCGGCAGGCCUAACACAUGCAAGUCGAGCGGCAGCACAGUCGUAGCAAUACGAUGGGUGGCGAGCGGCGGACGGGUGAGGAAUGCAUCGGAAUCUACCUUGUUGUGGGGGAUAACGUAGGGAAACUUACGCUAAUACCGCAUGAGACCGUAAGGUGAAAGCGGGGGACCUGUGAGGGCCUCGCGCGACAAGAUGAGCCGAUGCCGGAUUAGCUAGUUGGUGGGUAAAGCCCACCAAGGCGACGAUCCGUAGCUGGUCU